GACGAACCAUGCAAACGUUAUUCGGAAUGACUGGGCUUAAAGCGUGCGUAGGCGGUUCCGAAAGUUGGGUGUGAAAUCCCCCGGCUCAACCGGGGAAUUGCGCCCAAAACUACGGAACUCGAGGGAGAUAGAGGUGGGCGGAACUUCGGGUGGAGCGGUGAAAUGCGUUGAUAUCCGAAGGAACACCAGAGGCGAAAGCGGCCCACUGGAUCUUUUCUGACGCUGAGGCACGAAAGCUAGGGGAGCGAACGGG
rnacentral:rRNA from 1 species